rnacentral:rRNA from 1 species
UCGUGAGACAGUUCGGUCCCUAUCUUCCGUGGGUGUAGGAUACUUGAGAGGAGUUGCCCCUAGUACGAGAGGACCGGGGUGAACGAUCCACUGGUGGACCAGUUGUUAUGCCAAUAGCAGUGCUGGGUAGCUAUGAUCGGACAGGAUAACCGCUGAAGGCAUCUAAGCGGGAAGCCCCCCUCAAAACAAGGUAUCCCUGAGAGCCGUGGUAGACCACCACGUCGAUAGGCCAGAGAUGUAAGCGUAGUAAUACGUUCAGUUGACUGGUACUAAUUGCUCGAUAGGCUUGAUUUG